AAGGAAUUAGUUAAAAUAAAUAACAUUAGAGUGUCAAUCUAAAGUAACUAAAAAAUUAGUACACCUUG
rnacentral:tRNA from 1 species